CAGAUAGAUCAGGCCAGAGACAACGGUCUGUGAGCGUACGGGACACUUUGUUGUGUGUGAGAGGGGGCUUCUGGGGGGUCUCUGGCCAGGGAAGUGACCUGAGAGGAGAGAAAGGAAGCAUUGAGAUGUUUUUCCGCUUGCCACGUUUGACCCCUGGAUAUAUCCGCUACUUGCAGACUCAGGCAGUGCGGAGCGAACUGCAGAGGGAGAAGCCCCUGGCAUCACGUUUCGCCAUGCUACUGGGCCUUAUGGGCUUUGGGAUGUCAGGAUACAGUUCACGACAGCUAACGCUGCACUACAAGCCAUCGCCACAUCUGUUGCGGUAAAGAGGAGAGUGAGGGAAAGAGGAUAAAGGAAGGGCUAGUGACGUAGAGCUUAAUCACCCUAGCUAGCCAGCCAGCACUACAUUGUUGUAAUAUGGAUUGUGAUAUGGCCCUCUACAUCCACUCAUAGCUUAGUCAGGUUCAUAUCUGUUACCUAAAGGAUGCUUUGUUUUGUAGCGACCCACUCUGCAUCAUGCUAAAGCUAAUAGUCUUGAUGUGCUUGCGAGGAUGGCCAAUCCUCAACCAAGCUCUCCCCAGUCUGUUCUUGGAUUCUGUGCCUUAGGGGACAGCAUCCGCCUAAUCUGAGUUUAUACUGACGCAUAUUCUCCAACUACACGUCUCAGAGAGUUAUAUGUUUUACAAAGAAAGAGUAUAGCUAGCGCUGCAGUAAAUUAGCCUAUGGAUUCUACUUCAGCACCUAGCAUGAGGCUGCUGUCAAACAAGACAACCGACCUAUAGCCCUUCACAGUUUCAGCCCAAUCAAUCACUGCUUUAGUUUGAAUUGUGAUUGGUCUGGGGUUGGCAUGAACGUGUGAAAUGGCUGAAGGAAGCCCCAGUCAAACUAUGUGCGAAGGCACUAAAUGAAGAUGCCCAUUGACUUCCAUUAAAAUGAAGCAUGAACUUCAACUGCCAAUGAAAUUCAGACGACUAAAGUUUCCAGAACAAUGCUAGGAAAUAUAGAUCUCAAGUUAGUGUUCUGUUUGCAACUAUCAUAGUGACUGAGCUAACCUGUUAGCUAAAAGCAAAAGGUUAGCUAGUUUGAGGAGCUGGAAUCCACUUGCUAUGCACGUAUAACUAUAGACUGCUGUUAAGUGACUCAAAUAGAAGUCAAAAUAGUUUGCAGUAUGGUGUAUAUUGCUGUUGUCUAUCUGAUAGCUGAUGGUAGACUAAACCUAUUUAUAGAUAUAUUCAUGUCAGAAAUGUUCAUGAGGUGGAGCACUGUCUUAGGCCUAACUCAGAAAUAGCAUGUCAUGCUAUUUUUGUUUGAUAAGUCACUGCCUCCAAUACAGAUUAGCAUGCGCAACAUUAGCUACUGGUUGCUGGUCAAAUUUAAAACGUGACUCCCAAAUCAAAUCUUAUUCAUUAUUUAUGAUGUAAUGAUAUUAAGAUCUGUGUACUAGUCAAACUAAAUUUUAAUGUGUGUUUUCCUCCCAAAACUAGACAAGGAAGUAGGCAUGUUCCUUGUGUUUGUUCGUCAACAAAACCUUAGCAUUUGGUCAAAAAUGCUAUUUUGCACAGUGUGUAUCUAUGAUAUAUUUGUCUAAUUUAUAAACUACUUAAGCAUGUUGAUUGUGAUUUUGAAACUUUAUUUUAACUCUGUACUUCUGUAUGAAUGGCUGAAAGGUUUAUUUGUUUGUGGGUGAACAUGAACUGUAUGGCAUGAGUUAAGUGCAGAGGUGGGCAGAGGAGCUUAACUUGUAUUUAAAUGAAAUAAUGUCUUGGCAAAAUGUAAAGAAACUUGAGUAAAAAGUAUCAGCUGCAGAAACUCUUUCAAUAUGACAUUAUCCAUACUGCAAACUGUAAAUGUUGAGUUUAAUUUUAAAAAGUUGGGAAACUUACUUUUUCUAAGUAAAUUGACAAAGCAUCUAAAAUGCAUUAUACCUUAAGGAAACUGUUCGUUCAAAGUAAAGCAGUACAUAAAUGUGGAGGUUCAGGAUCAAAGUUAAUAUUGAGUAAUAUUUGCUAAAAAUCCUGCUUGAAAAAUAGCACAGGCCACCAUGGCUGGUCACCAGCAAAACUAGCAUAUGUUGAGUUUUGGAUGCUGGUAUGCUGGCCAACCAGCAUGACCAUGCUGGGUGACAAGCUAAACCAGCACCAGACCAGCAUAAACUAGCUUGUACAUGUGCUAAUAUUUGCUAUUAAAUUGCAUUUCUUUUUGAAAAACUAAAAUAAUUUUUGUAAAUUAUCAAAAACAAAGUUGCUUAAAACUUUAAAGUAAAUUAUACUAUUAUUAUAGUAUAUACAGCCUGAAUGAAAACAAAACAGAGAAUAUGGAACUAAAUGUGAAAUUGAAACUGAGAAAAAAAUUAUUAAUUAAUUCCCUCAAAAACAUAUCUGUAGGUAAAAGUAUUACAAUUUAAAUGCACAAAUCCACCACCUGAGUAAAUGGAACAUCUCACCUCUGCCUAGCUGAUGCUAUGAGAGCAGGUCAGUGAUUGUGGAAAGGGAAUUUGAGGCUUCCGCCCUUGCUUAGCCACGCAGGGUGUUGAAAAAUAUAACGUCCCCUCAGCUAUGGGCAAUAAGGCCUGCCAACCUUAGUGCCAGUCAAUGAGGGGUGUCAGCUCAGGGCUGUAUUCAAAUUCCCAUCACAUACACUAACCUCUCUGAACGAGAUGACCAGAUCUCUUUACUUUACUUUAGAAACACCUGAUCAUCUAUUCGUUUUACUGAAAUGUUUGUUUAUUAUGUGAACGUGUCACCGACAAUUGAAUGUGUUAUUUUUAGUGAGGAUGUAAAUCUCGGACUUCAUAAUGUUUCGGUUUGAUGACAGCGCAUCGUGAAAGCUCAAAUUCUUUGUAAACAAUAUGAACAAUGCACCAGGCUAGGCUGUUAUCACAUUUCAAUGUUUACAAAUAGCCCAAAAAUGUUAUUUUGGCCAAAUAAUUUGUAUAUGCGUUAUUAAAUAGCAUUAUAAUCAAUUACACCCAAUUCUAACCUUUCAAAAUUGAUGCAGUUGAAUUACAACCAUCACAUAUUGUCAUAUGACAAAAUAUGCAAUAUUUACACUAAAUAUGUGGAGUUUUAGAAUAUUUGGGCUAAGUAUAUUUAAAUAUGCCAGAUUUAAAUUUUUAAAUGAUAUGUCAAGACAAGUAUAUAUGUCAAUACAUGCAUAAAUAAGCCAAUACACAGUCAUAUGCAAUAGUUUGGGCACCCCAGACCUAAUGACAUGUUUUGGUGAUUUUCUAAGUGAAAAUAAGAGAACACACUUCCACACAUUUAAUGCAUAAGUACUAUUUAUUCGCUGAAUUUCACAUACUGAGGAAAAAGAACCUAAAAUGUGGCCUGUGCUAAGGUUGUGCCACAUUAUAUAUUUUAUGUUUUAUUUUUUUACAGUAUGUUAAACUAAAUUUUUACUCUGAAAAUCAACGACACAUAUCAUUUGUUGUUCAUUUUACAUGUGACUGUAUUAAAAUAUAUGCACACAUGUAGAUUAAAUAUAGGUAAUAGUGUUAAAUAUGUGCAUAAAUCUUUGGUCCAUGUGUUUUUUGAUAUGUGAGAAACUCAGCAAAUACAAUGUUUCAUUCCAAAAUUGUUUGCAACACUAAAGUACAUUGAGCAAAACACAUAUUUGGCCCUUUUCAAAUUUUUAAAUACAUUUGAUACACACGUGAAAAGAAACGUGUAUUGCGUAUAGGUCAAAACAGAUAUAUCAGCGCCCACUGAUGGAGCUGGACAUGCUGAGUCAGAAAACAAAGUCACAGUGACUGGGCAUCAAGCAGAGGAAAAAAAGUAGCUUAAAAAGAGCCUAAUCUACUGCUCUUCCUCAUCGGAUUAGCCCAGGGUCACAGCCCUGUAAAUAGAGACCCCAUAGAGCGAGUGCUUGUUUCUGAGAUCGUGUUGUUAAUUAGGACAAGGUGUGAUCACAGGAUCAGACACUUGAAAUAGAAAUUCCCUGGAAUUGAAUGUGCAUUUGUUUUUUAGUGUGAUCUGAAGGUCACAGUCUUGUGUUUCUGUUUAGAAGAAGCAGAUUCACAGUUGCACCACAGUCUGAGAUUCUUUGAUUAAUUAAUUGGAUUAAUCCAGACUUAAUUAUGCUGUAACUAAUGUUGCCAUAGUAACAUUGGUCAGAGAACCUUGUAAACAGUAGUGAAUGUACUAGUUAAGCAUUUAUUGAAUGUAAAGAAUGUUGUACAGUAGAGUGAUACAUUUAUUGAUGUGUCCAAUAAAAAAAAGGAAAAGCCAA